UACGUAGGGUGCAAGCGUUAAUCGGAAUUACUGGGCGUAAAAGCGCACGUAGGCGGAUUGUUAAGUCAGGGGGUGAAAUCCUGGAGCUCAACUCCAGAACUGCCCUUUUGAUACUGGCAAUCUAGAGUCCCGGAAGAGGUGAGUGGAACUCCUAGUGUAGAGGUGGAAUUCGUAGAUAUUAGGAAGAACACCAGUGGCGAAAGGCGGCUCACUGGUCCGGUACUGACGCUGAGGUGCGAAAGCGUGGGGAGCGAACAGG
rnacentral:rRNA from 1 species